UACGUAGGGUGCGAGCGUUGUCCGGAAUUACUGAGCGUAAAGAGCUCGUAGGUGGUUUGUCGCGUUGUUCGUGAAAUCUCACGGCUUAACUGUGAGCGUGCGGGCGAUACGGGCAGACUAGAGUACUGCGGGGGAGACUGGAAUUCCUGGUGUAGCGGUGGAAUGCGCAGAUAUCAGGAGGAACACCGGUGGCGAAGGCGGGUCUCUGGGCAGUAACUGACGCUGAGGAGCGAAAGCGUGGGGAGCGAACAGG
rnacentral:rRNA from 1 species